UGAGGGAUAUUGGGCAAUGGGGGAAACCCUGACCCAGCGACGCCGCGUGAGGGAAGACGGUCUUCGGAUUGUAAACCUCUGUCUUUGGGGGACGAAGAAGGACGGUACCCAAGGAGGAAGCUCCGGCUAACUACGUGCCAGCAGCCGCGGUAAUACGUAGGGAGCGAGCGUUGUCCGGAAUUACUGGGUGUAAAGGGAGCGUAGGCGGGAUUGCAAGUUGGAUGUGAAAACUGCGGGCUCAACCCGGAGAGUGCAUUCAAAACUGCGAUUCUUGAGUGAAGUAGAGGCAAGCGGAAUUCCUAGUGUAGCGGUGAAAUGCGUAGAUAUUAGGAGGAACACCAGUGGCGAAGGCGGCUUGCUGGGCUUUUACUGACGCUGAGGCUCGAAAGUGUGGGGAGCAAACAGGAUUAGAUACC
rnacentral:rRNA from 1 species